rnacentral:rRNA from 1 species
CAUUCAGAGCACCUGACGCAGCAUGCCGCGUGGAUGAGAAGGCCUUCGGGUUGUAAAGUCCUUUCGUGGAGGACGAAAAGGUGGGUUCUAAUACAAUCUGCUAUUGACGUGAAUCCAAGAAGAAGCACCGGCUAACUCCGUGCCAGCAGCCGCGGUAAUACGGGGGGUGCAAGCGUUAAUCGGAAUCACUGGGCGUAAAGGGUGCGUAGGCGGUACGUUAGGUCUGUCGUGAAAUCCCCGGGCUCAACCUGGGAAUGGCGGUAGAAACCGGCGCACUAGAGUAUGGGAGAGGGUGGUGGAAUUCCAGGUGUAGCGGUGAAAUGCGUAGAUAUCUGGAGGAACAUCAGUGGCGAAGGCGGCCACCUGGCCCAAUACUGACGCUGAGGCACGAAAGCGUGGGGAGCAAACAGGAUUAGAUACCCUGGUAGUCCACGCCCUAAACGAUGAAUACUAGAUGUUUGGUGCCUAGCGUACUGAGUGUCGUAGCUAACGCGAUAAGUAUUCCGCCUGGGAAGUACGGCCGCAAGGUUAAAACUCAAAUGAAUUGACGGA